UACGGGGGAUGCAAGCGUUGUCCGGAUUUACUGGGUGUAAAGGGCGUGUAGCCGGGCUGACAAGUCAGAUGUGAAAUCCGGGGGCUCAACCCCCGAACUGCAUUUGAAACUGUUGGUCUUGAGUAUCGGAGAGGCAGGCGGAAUUCCUAGUGUAGCGGUGAAAUGCGUAGAUAUUAGGAGGAACACCAGUGGCGAAGGCGGCCUGCUGGACGACAACUGACGGUGAGGCGCGAAAGCGUGGGGAGCAAACAGG
rnacentral:rRNA from 1 species